rnacentral:rRNA from 1 species
GAUGAACGCUGGCGGCGUGCCUAAUACAUGCAAGUCGAGCGAACAGAUGAGGAGCUUGCUCCUCUGACGUUAGCGGCGGACGGGUGAGUAACACGUGGAUAACCUACCUAUAAGACUGGGAUAACUUCGGGAAACCGGAGCUAAUACCGGAUAAUAUAUUGAACCGCAUGGUUCAAUAGUGAAAGACGGUUUUGCUGUCACUUAUAGAUGGAUCCGCGCCGCAUUAGCUAGUUGGUAAGGUAACGGCUUACCAAGGCAACGAUGCGUAGCCGACCUGAGAGGGUGAUCGGCCACACUGGAACUGAGACACGGUCCAGACUCCUACGGGAGGCAGCAGUAGGGAAUCUUCCGCAAUGGGCGAAAGCCUGACGGAGCAACGCCGCGUGAGUGAUGAAGGUCUUCGGAUCGUAAAACUCUGUUAUUAGGGAAGAACAAAUGUGUAAUUAACUAUGCACGUCUUGACGGUACCUAAUCAGAAAGCCCCGGCUAACUACGUG